CAGCACAUCAGACAGCCAUCAUCGUCGGAAGCUCUCCAACUCUGAGCAGCAGGAGGCGCCGUCAGCAACUCAGCAUGAGCGACCGCAGGUACGGGUACUCGUACCCGCCGCCCCAGGGGUACUACAACAACGGACCGCCGGUGAUGGCGCCGCCGCAGUACCAGUACGCAGCUCCGCCGCCGAGGAGGGAGCCGAGCUUCCUUGAAGGAUGUCUCGCUGCUCUGUGCUGCUGCUGCCUCAUAGACGAGUGCUGCUGCGACCCGUCGGUUAUUUUUGUGAGCUGAUCAAUCCGAUCGACCACAAUAUGCCAUCAUUCCCAGCCCUGAGAUAUAUCUCAUAUAUAUGUACGGAGUAUGUACACGUGUGUUUGCACUUCGCACCUUCGUUGGUGAUGAUGUUUUCAGCCUAUAAUGUAGAUAUAGGCCUUGUUUACU